CCAGUCGUAGCCGAUGUUCCACAGCAGAGGGCCCAGGACAGACCCCUGCGGAACACCGCGCUCGACCGG
rfam:Bombyx mori DNA, contig: Bm_scaf41_contig23502, strain: p50T/Dazao, build 2, whole genome shotgun sequence.